GCGGAAAUAGCUCAGUGGUAGAGCACCACCUUGCCAAGGUGGGGGUCGCGGGUUCGAAACCCGUUUUCCGCU
rfam:Enterococcus cecorum DSM 20682 = ATCC 43198 genomic scaffold adfme-supercont2.1, whole genome shotgun sequence.